UACGUAGGGAGCAAGCGUUGUCCGGAAUCAUUGGGCGUAAAGCGCGCGUAGGUGGCCCUGUAAGUCCGUUGUGAAAGUCAAAGGCUCAACCUUUGAAAGCCGAUGGAUACUGCAGGGCUGGAGUCCGGAAGAGGCGAGUGGAAUUCCUGGUGUAGCGGUGGAAUGCGCAGAUAUCAGGAGGAACACCGGUGGCGAAGGCGGGUCUCUGGGCCGAUACUGACGCUGAGGAGCGAAAGCGUGGGGAGCGAACAGG
rnacentral:rRNA from 1 species